GCAGCAGUAUCGAAGCGGUCAUAACGAGCACGACUGGAAAUCGUGUGUACGUCAAAAGCGUACCGAGAGUUCGAAUCUCUCCUGCUGCGCCA
rnacentral:tRNA from 3 species